rnacentral:rRNA from 1 species
CGGCAACAGCUCAAAUUUGAAAUCUGGCCCCUCCGGGGUCCGAGUUGUAAUUUGUAGAGGAUGCUUUGGGGCAGCCGCCGGUCUAAGUUCCUUGGAACAGGACGUCACAGAGGGUGAGAAUCCCGUAUGUGGCCGGCAGGGCACCCCGUGUAAAGCUCCUUCGAC